rnacentral:rRNA from 1 species
UCUACACUCUUUCCCUACACGACGCUCUUCCGAUCUGCGAUUACAGGCGAUGAAGGACGUGGUAGUCUGCGAAAUUUUUCGGGGAGCUGGCAAACAAGCUUUGAUCCGGAAGUGUCCGAAUGGGGAAACCCACCCGCAAGGGUAUCCAUCUCUGAAUUCAUAGGAGAUGUGAAGCAAACCGAGUGAACUGAAACAUCUUAGUAACUCGAGGAAAAGAAAUCAACCGAGAUUCCGGUAGUAGUGGCGAGCGAAACCGGAACAGCCUGUUAUUUUUAGCACACGCGUUAAUAGAACGGAAUGGAAAGUCCGGCCGUAGAGGGUGAUAGUCCCGUAUAUGAAAGCCCGUGUGUGGAACUAGGAUAACGAUAAGUAGGACGGGACACGUGAAAUCUUGUCUGAAUAUGGGGGGACCAUCCUCCAAGGCUAAAUACUCGUAAUCGACCGAUAGUGAACUAGUACCGUGAGGGAAAGGUGAAAAGAACCCCGGGAGGGGAGUGAAAUAGAUUCUGAAACCGUAUGCAUACAAACAGUAGGAGCCCUUCGGGGUGACUGCGUACCUUUUGUAUAAUGGGUCAGCGACUUACAUUCAGUAGCAAGCUUAACCGAUAGGGAAGGCGUAGCGAAAGCGAGUCCUAAUAGGGCGUCCUAGUUACUGGGUGUAGACCCGAAACCAAGUGAUCUAUCCAUGGCCAGGAUGAAGGUGCCGUAACAGGUACUGGAGGUCCGAACCGACUAGUGUUGCAAAACUAGCGGAUGAGCUGUGGAUAGGGGUGAAAGGCUAAACAAACUUGGAAAUAGCUGGUUCUCUCCGAAAACUAUUUAGGUAGUGCCUCAAGUAUUACCAUCGGGGGUAGAGCACUGUUUUGGCUAGGGGGUCAUGGCGACUUACCAAACCAAGGCAAACUCCGAAUACCGAUGAGUACAGCUUGGGAGACAGAGCACCGGGUGCUAACGUCCGGACUCAAGAGGGAAACAACCCAGACCGCCAGCUAAGGUCCCUAAAAUUGGCUAAGUGGGAAACGAAGUGGGAAGGCUAAAACAGUCAGGAUGUUGGCUUAGAAGCAGCCAUCAUUUAAAGAAAGCGUAAUAGCUCACUGAUCGAGUCGUCCUGCGCGGAAGAUGUAACGGGGCUAAGCCAGUUACCGAAGCUGCGGAUGUGCAAUUUAUUGCACGUGGUAGGAGAGCGUUCUGUAAGCCUGUGAAGGUGGCGGUGUAAACCCUGCUGGAGGUAUCAGAAGUGCGAAUGCUGACAUGAGUAGCGUUAAAGGGGGUGAAAAGCCCCCUCGCCGUAAGCGCAAGGUUUUCUACGCAACGUUCAUCGGCGUAGAGUGAGUCGGCCCCUAAGGCGAGGCAGAGAUGCGUAGCUGAUGGGAAACAGGUCAAUAUUCCUGUACCGAUGUGUAGUGCGAUGUGGGGACGGAGAAGGUUAGCUCAGCCAACUGUUGGACAUGUUGGUUCAAGCCUGUAGUCGUGCCUGGUAGGUAAAUCCGCCGGGCUUAGAUGAGGGGUGAUAACGAGUCUGCUUGCAGACGAAGUGAGUGAUACCCUGCUUCCAGGAAAAGCCACUAAGCUUCAGCUACACACGACCGUACCGCAAACCGACACUGGUGCGCGAGAUGAGUAUUCUAAGGCGCUUGAGAGAACUCAGGAGAAGGAACUCGGCAAAUUGACACCGUAACUUCGGAAGAAGGUGUGCCUUUAGUAGGUGAAGUCCCUCGCGGAUGGAGCCGAGAAAGGUUGCAAAAAAUCGGUGGCUGCGACUGUUUAUUAAAAACACAGCACUCUGCAAACACGAAAGUGGACGUAUAGGGUGUGACGCCUGCCCGGUGCUGGAAGAUUAAAUGAUGGGGUGCAAGCUCUUGAUUGAAGUCCCAGUAAACGGCGGCCGUAACUAUAACGGUCCUAAGGUAGCGAAAUUCCUUGUC